AGAGCUACAUAUGAUAUCAAAAGUAUAGAGAUAUGGUGUUUUCGAUUUUUUGAUUCUUAGAUCAAUUUCUUUAAUCGUUUCUUCGCUUUGGAUUAAUAUUAUUUUUACCUUGUAGGGACCACUCAAUCCUAAGAGUAUUAUUUAAUUCUAGGAAAGACCGCAAUCAUCCCAACCAUACAAUUUUUAAUCAAAGGGUCAAAAAUUCAAAAACAUCAAAUCCUCUAUAUUUUCGAGCAUAGUAGUUCUACACUAUAUAUAUAUAUAUAUAUAUAUAUAUAUAUAAUUAGGCUGGAAUACUAUUAAUAGUAAAACGUUCUUUUUGCUAUCAAGUUGUUAACUCUUGGAUGAAAAAUUGUAGGGUCAGGAUGAUAUUAGUCGGUUAGAGUUGAGUGGUCCCCCUAGGGUUGAGUGGUUCCCACUGAGUUAUAGUAUUUAAUCCAAUAGUUAGAAAUAAUGAAAAGAGUUGAUCCAAAGGCUAAAAAACUGGUAGCAAUAAUGAGAUUUUGCUACUAAUAGUAGCCCANGCUGAGUGAAUAAUUUGAGUUUAGUUAAAAUUGGGUCAAUGUUAUUGGCUCAUAAAAACAAAUCCAAUAGACAAAUAAAAGAACAAAAUUUUACUAAAUUUAUAUUUUUUUUCUUUAUUUAUUUCUUUCUUUCACAUAGCUCUAAAUUUUCAAUAUAUUUCCCCCUUUCUCUUUUUCUGUCUCUCACCCAAAGUGGCCAAGCCGGAAGCCUUCUAAGUUACCAAGUAACAUCAUAUUCCCGUCGUUGUCUACCUUGCUAUUAAUUGUAUGCUUGAGAAAAUAUACAGAAUAUUUUUAAAGUAAAAAAUUAUUAUUCAUAUAAAAUUUUAAUUUUAGUUAUAUAUGAUUGGAUAGUUUAAUCCAAUAUUUAUCUAUAUAAUUUAUUUAUUUUUGACUGCAUAAAUGAAAAUGAAUAAUAUAGAGAUUGAAGGCGGAAGAAAAGACAUGUGAGGCUGAAAAAAUUAGAUAUUCAACUCAUAAAUUAUUUUUUUUCAUAUUAUAAUACUAUAUUUCAUAUAAUUAUUUUGUACUUUGAACUAUUAGACAUAUUUUUGUAUUAAAUUAUAGAUAAUGUUCUAUACAAAUUAAAUUAUUGAUCGUAUAAUGUUGAGAAUUUCAAGCGGCUCGUUUAGGGCUCGAGCUCGCUCGACUUGAAAUCAAGCUCGCUCGAGCUCGGCUCGAAUUAAUUUCAAUCCAAGCUUGAGCUUAAAUUUAGGCUCGAAAUUAAUUUCAAGCCGAAUUUGAGCCGAGGUAAGCUCGCUCGAGCUCGGCUUGUUUCCACCCCUAUAUACCAUUGAAUAGAUAUUAUUAUAGUCAAUUUUUAUCAUAUUUAUUAAUUAUUAUAGUUAAUUUUUGUUAUCUUUAUUAAUUCUUUUUCUUAGUGAGUAAUAUAUUUUUUCAUCUUUCAAUAAAUUUUAUUUUAUUUUAAUUUAUUUUUGUAAUUUUUAAUACGUAACUUUGAUUUUACUAUUAUAAAUUUGUUACUUUUUCCUC
rnacentral:lncRNA from 1 species